rnacentral:rRNA from 1 species
AUUGAACGCUGGCGGCAUGCCUUACACAUGCAAGUCGAACGGUAGCAGGUCUUCGGAUGCUGACGAGUGGCGAACGGGUGAGUAAUACAUCGGAACGUGCCCGAUCGUGGGGGAUAACGGAGCGAAAGCUUUGCUAAUACCGCAUACGAUCUACGGAUGAAAGCAGGGGACCGCAAGGCCUUGCGCGGACGGAGCGGCCGAUGGCAGAUUAGGUAGUUGGUGGGAUAAAAGCUUACCAAGCCGACGAUCUGUAGCUGGUCUGAGAGGACGACCAGCCACACUGGGACUGAGACACGGCCCAGACUCCUACGGGAGGCAGCAGUGGGGAAUUUUGGACAAUGGGCGAAAGCCUGAUCCAGCCAUGCCGCGUGCAGGAUGAAGGCCUUCGGGUUGUAAACUGCUUUUGUACGGAACGAAAAGACUCUUUCUAAUAAAGAGGGUCCAUGACGGUACCGUAAGAAUAAGCACCGGCUAACUACGUG